GAACUUCCGUUAAUUGAUUAUGACGUGCUUGCACUGAAUGAGAUUUUAACACGAAGUGAGUGGCGGACGGGUGAGUAACACGUGGGUAACCUGCCCAGAAGCAGGGGAUAACACCUGGAAACAGAUGCUAAUACCGUAUAACAGAGAAAACCGCCUGGUUUUCUUUUAAAAGAUGGCUCUGCUAUCACUUCUGGAUGGACCCGCGGCGCAUUAGCUAGUUGGUGAGGUAACGGCUCACCAAGGCGAUGAUGCGUAGCCGACCUGAGAGGGUAAUCGGCCACAUUGGGACUGAGACACGGCCCAGACUCCUACGGGAGGCAGCAGUAGGGAAUCUUCCACAAUGGACGCAAGUCUGAUGGAGCAACGCCGCGUGAGUGAAGAAGGGUUUCGGCUCGUAAAGCUCUGUUGUUAAAGAAGAACGUGGGUGAGAGUAACUGUUCACCCAGUGACGGUAUUUAACCAGAAAGCCACGGCUAACUACGUGCCAGCAGCCGCGGUAAUAGGGUAGGUGGCAAGCGUUAUCCGGAUUUAUUGGGCGUAAAGCGAGCGCAGGCGGUCUUUUAAGUCUAAUGUGAAAGCCUUCGGCUCAACCGAAGAAGUGCAUUGGAAACUGGGAGACUUGAGUGCAGAAGAGGACAGUGGAACUCCAUGUGUAGCGGUGAAAUGCGUAGAUAUAUGGAAGAACACCAGUGGCGAAGGCGGCUGUCUGGUCUGUAACUGACGCUGAGGCUCGAAAGCAUGGGUAGCGAAC
rnacentral:rRNA from 1 species